rnacentral:rRNA from 1 species
GAUGAACGCUAGCGAUAGGCUUAACACAUGCAAGUCGAGGGGCAGCAUUAUUUUAGCUUGCUAAGAUAGAUGGCGACCGGCGCACGGGUGCGUAACGCGUAUGCAACCUGCCUGUAAUUAGGGAAUAACCCGGUGAAAGUCGGACUAAUACCCUAUAUUCUUCUUUCUCCGCAUGGAGGAGGACGGAAAGAUUUAUUGAUUACAGAUGGGCAUGCGUCCCAUUAGCUAGUUGGUAAGGUAACGGCUUACCAAGGCAACGAUGGGUAGGGGGACUGAGAGGUUGACCCCCCACACUGGUACUGAGACACGGACCAGACUCCUACGGGAGGCAGCAGUGAGGAAUAUUGGUCAAUGGGCGAGAGCCUGAACCAGCCAAGUCGCGUGAAGGACGACGGUUCUAUGGAUUGUAAACUUCUUUUGUAGAGGAAUAACGGCAGCUACGUGUAGCUGAGAUGCAUGUACUCUACGAAUAAGUAUCGG